AUGAACGCUAGCUACAGGCUUAACACAUGCAAGUCGAGGGGCAUCAGGAAGAAAGCUUGCUUUCUUUGCUGGCGACCGGCGCACGGGUGAGUAACACGUAUCCAACCUGCCCUUUACUCGGGGAUAGCCUUUCGAAAGAAAGAUUAAUACCCGAUGGCAUAAUGAUUCCGCAUGGUUUCAUUAUUAAAGGAUUCCGGUAAAGGAUGGGGAUGCGUUCCAUUAGGUUGUUGGUGAGGUAACGGCUCACCAAGCCUUCGAUGGAUAGGGGUUCUGAGAGGAAGGUCCCCCACAUUGGAACUGAGACACGGUCCAAACUCCUACGGGAGGCAGCAGUGAGGAAUAUUGGUCAAUGGGCGGUAGCCUGAACCAGCCAAGUAGCGUGAAGGAUGAAGGCUCUAUGGGUCGUAAACUUCUUUUAUAUAAGAAUAAAGUGCAGUAUGUAUACUGUUUUGUAUGUAUUAUAUGAAUAAGGAUCGGCUAACUCCGUGCCAGCAGCCGCGGUAAUACGGAGGAUCCGAGCGUUAUCCGGAUUUAUUGGGUUUAAAGGGAGCGUAGGUGGACUGGUAAGUCAGUUGUGAAAGUUUGCGGCUCAACCGUAAAAUUGCAGUUGAUACUGGAUGUCUUGAGUGCAGUUGAGGCAGGCGGAAUUCGUGGUGUAGCGGUGAAAUGCUUAGAUAUCACGAAGAACUCCGAUUGCGAAGGCAGCUCACUGGACUGCAACUGACACUGAUGCUCGAAAGUGUGGGUAUCAAACAGGAUUAGAUACCCUGGUAGUCCACACAGUAAACGAUGAAUACUCGCUGUUUGCGAUAUACAGUAAGCGGCCAAGCGAAAGCAUUAAGUAUUCCACCUGGGGAGUACGCCGGCAACGGUGAAACUCAAAGGAAUUGACGGGGGCCCGCACAAGCGGAGGAACAUGUGGUUUAAUUCGAUGAUACGCGAGGAACCUUACCCGGGCUUAAAUUGCAGUGGAAUGAUGUGGAAACAUGUCAGUGAGCAAUCACCGCUGUGAAGGUGCUGCAUGGUUGUCGUCAGCUCGUGCCGUGAGGUGUCGGCUUAAGUGCCAUAACGAGCGCAACCCUUAUCUUCAGUUACUAACAGGUCAUGCUGAGGACUCUGGAGAGACUGCCGUCGUAAGAUGUGAGGAAGGUGGGGAUGACGUCAAAUCAGCACGGCCCUUACGUCCGGGGCUACACACGUGUUACAAUGGGGGGUACAGAAGGCAGCUAGCGGGUGACCGUAUGCUAAUCCCAAAAUCCUCUCUCAGUUCGGAUCGAAGUCUGCAACCCGACUUCGUGAAGCUGGAUUCGCUAGUAAUCGCGCAUCAGCCACGGCGCGGUGAAUACGUUCCCGGGCCUUGUACACACCGCCCGUCAAGCCAUGGGAGCCGGGGGUACCUGAAGUACGUAACCGCAAGGAUCGUCCUAGGGUAAAACUGGUGACUGGGGCU
rnacentral:rRNA from 1 species